rnacentral:rRNA from 1 species
GAUGAACGCUGGCGGCGUGCCUAAUACAUGCAAGUCGAGCGAACGGACGAGAAGCUUGCUUCUCUGAUGUUAGCGGCGGACGGGUGAGUAACACGUGGAUACCUACCUAUAAGACUGGGAUAACUUCGGGAAACCGGAGCUAAUACCGGAUGAUAUUUUGAACCGCAUGGUUCAAAAGUGAAAGACGGUCUUGCUGUCACUUAUAGAUGGAUCCGCGCUGCAUUAGCUAGUUGGUAAGGUAACGGCAUACCAAGGCAACGAUGCAUAGCCGACCUGAGAGGGAGGUCGGGCACACUGGAACUGAGACACGGUCCAGACUCCUACGGGAGGCAGCAGUAGGGAAUCUUCCGCGAUGGGCGAAAGCCUGACGGAGCAACGCCGCGUGAGUGAUGAAGGUCUUCGGAUCGUAAAGCUCUGUUAGUAGGGGGGAACAAAUGUGUAAGUAACUGUGCACAUCUUGACGGUACCUAAUCAGAAAGCCACGGCUAACUACGUG